GAUGAACGCUGGCGGCGUGCCUAAUACAUGCAAGUCGAGCGAACAGACGAGGAGCUUGCUCCUCUGACGUUAGCGGCGGACGGGUGAGUAACACGUGGACAACCUACCUAUAAGACUGGGAUAACUUCGGGAAACCGGAGCUAAUACCGGAUAAUAUAUUGAACCGCAUGGUUCAAUAGUGAAAGACGGUUUUGCUGUCACUUAUAGAUGGAUCCGCGCCGCAUUAGCUAGUUGGUAAGGUAACGGCUUACCAAGGCGACGAUGCGUAGCCGACCUGAGAGGGUGAUCGGCCACACUGGAACUGAGACACGGUCCAGACUCCUACGGGAGGCAGCAGUAGGGAAUCUUCCGCAAUGGGCGAAAGCCUGACGGAGCAACGCCGUGUGAGUGAUGAAGGUCUUCGGAUCGUAAAACUCUGUUAUUAGGGAAGAACAAAUGUGUAAGUAACUAUGCACGUCUUGACGGUACCUAAUCAGAAAGCCACGGCUAACUACGUG
rnacentral:rRNA from 1 species